rnacentral:rRNA from 1 species
CCUACGGGGCGCAGCAGUGGGGAAUAUUGGACAAUGGGCGAAAGCCUGAUCCAGCCAUGCCGCGUGUGUGAAGAAGGCCUUCGGGUUGUAAAGCACUUUCAGUGGGGAAGAAAGCCUUGGGGCUAAUACCCUCGAGGAAGGACAUCACCCACAGAAGAAGCACCGGCUAACUCCGUGCCAGCAGCCGCGGUAAUACGGAGGGUGCGAGCGUUAAUCGGAAUUACUGGGCGUAAAGCGCGCGUAGGCGGUCUGAUAAGCCGGUUGUGAAAGCCCCGGGCUCAACCUGGGAACGGCAUCCGGAACCGUCAGGCUAGAGUGCAGGAGAGGAAGGUAGAAUUCCCGGUGUAGCGGUGAAAUGCGUAGAGAUCGGGAGGAAUACCAGUGGCGAAGGCGGCCUUCUGGACUGACACUGACGCUGAGGUGCGAAAGCGUGGGUAGCAAACAGGAUUAGAUACCCGAGUAGUC